GAAUUAGAUACGCCACUGGCUGAAUCAUGCCUUAUGAAACAUAAUUACAUACAGCCCAAACCUAAUGUGAUUUGCAUUUUCUGAUCUUUUCCUUAGACACAGUCAUUGAAAUUAAUGAGGAGGAACCUAGUAGUCUUAGUGAAGUAAACCUUAUGCAUUAUUAAGAAUCUCUCAUCCCUGUUUAUUGAGGAGCCAUUGGCAGACUGAUAUUGUAGAAAAUAAAGAGAGGCUUCAGCCCGUUGGAGAGGGAGUAUAGGAAAUCAGCUCUCUCUUUUAAUGCUGCUUUGUGGAAGUGUUUGGGAGAAAAAAAAAUAACAGAUACUUGACUGUUAUAACUUACUAACUAUAGUAAAGAUAGUUACUUCUAGGGAGAAGAACUUAGGUGGUUUCCACUGGAUUAAAAAACAACCUUAUUUCUCUGCUUUCCUCCAAAUCCCCACAUAACAACAAAAACCUAACUUGUGAAAGAUCUUAAGCUCUUACUGUUUUUAAGUAGAACUUGGAUUUUCAGAUAUUUUUUAAGUUCGUAAAGCUGUUUCUUCUGACAAUAAUAGAGAUAAAUAGAGCAUUCAUACUCAAAUCCUUGUUGGUUUGGAAUUUCAAGCAAGGAUGUGAAGACAGAAGCACUCUACGAGCACUGGAAGUAUCUGGGAUACUUGUGCCUGCUUAUCGUUUUUGUUUUUUUAGGUUUCUUUCAAAAUGAAGAUUCACGCAGUGAUUGUAACUGUCUUGAUGAGCCAGGUUGUAGUUUACAAAGUUUUAUUCCAGAAGGAAAAAAGCCACUUCACCUAGAAAUUUUGCAAACAAAUCAACUUUUACUCUGUGAGUAAUCCAGGGCCUAUCAAGACUACAUUUUAGUUGACUGCAAGGCCUCUGAGGCACGGGAAUUCACAGCUGAGUUCUUGGAGAAGGUCCUUGAGCCAUCUGGAUGGCGGACAGUCUGGCACAUGAUGUGCUCAAGGUGCUGCUUGAGGCCACAGAUGUGGACAUUUCAGCCUUGAAGGCAGUGGUGCAGCUUGCUGAGCCAUACCUCUGUGAAUCUUGAGCGAGUACUUUCACCUUGGAGUGUGUGAAAGAGCUCCUCGAGCUGAAGGAACAUCAGUUGCCCCUGAAGGAGCUGGGUGGUGUUUGAUGAUUCUGGAGACAGCACUUGUAACUUGUAACUGAGCAUGUCAGCUAGGAAGGAUAGCCACUGAGCAAGCCUGUAAGGCUAUUGGUCUGCCCAUUCUGGUUUCUUCACCAAUGAGAAAACUGGGACCUGGGGAGUUUGCAGAAGCCAUCCAAGGGCACCUGCUUCUCACAGCACAGCAGCUUCCUGCAGCCCUCCCUCCUGUCUUGUUUCUCCCUUAAUUGAGAGGAGAGGCCAGAACCAGAUGCAGGCAGUUCCAACAGUAAUGAAUUGCUCUAAGGUGUGGAUCCAAGAACCGGUGACAAGGUCAGGAAAUUCCAUCCCGGGACACUGACCCAACUAAGAGACUGUGCAUGAUGGCUAAGUUCAGAGCUCUGAGGAGAUGGUAAAACUCAUUUGCAACGAAACAAGAUAUUUUCCAACUCUGCAGCCAGGUGCAGAAAGCUGGAAGUGAUGCUCCAGGGAGUUUAUGUCUCCCCAUCUUGACCCACACCAAUACCUGAGGCUCGUUGCUUUGAUUCAAGUCCGGACAAGCUCUAAGGUUCAGCUCACACUGGGAGUCACGCUGCAGGUGCAAGCAAGAAUGGGGCUUGAAUCACACCCCUACUUGAUUUCUCCGUCUCCCUCCUCCUUCCUACUUCUCCCAGGAGCACCAUAGAAAAUUCCUGGAGCUCCUGGGAGUCUGUGAACGGUGGUGAUGCAGAAAAGCAAAGCGUGUAUAUCUGUUUUAGUCCUCCCUCAGAUCUGCUGAGGACACCUUGAGCCUGAAGUGAAAUCACAGUGGCUCUCAGGAAGAAGGGUGACUGUCUGGUGUGCAGUUGUGCUGCCACGGCAAAGGGAACUUUAAAACAUAGAACUGCCAUGUAGAAGCUCAGGAAAUAUCCAUGACCAAAUCCAUUUUCUUACAGGUCUGUCAUCUCUUUUGGUCAUAGAAUCAAAAAAAAUGGAAGACGAGAAAAGGCAGUGAAGACUGACAGCCUGUUGGUUGCUAUUCCAGUCGUGUCUGCUCCAUACGCGCCCUCCAUCUCAUCCCACCCAGUCAGUAUAUUUUCACCAGGCAGUGUUGCAGAAAUGUCUGUGGACUCCAGUUCUAUUGCAGUCAGGCAGCAUUUACAGGUUUGACUUUCAACUGACCAUGGCAGGAAGUCUAGAGGCAAUUAUAGCCAACACCUGCUCUAUGUGCGUGCCGGGCAGGUGGUGGCUGAUUCCUUGCCUCCAAUCCAUGAUGUGUUUCCUAUCAGCUCAGAAUAAUAACAGUGACACCUCUGCUUCUUCUCUGUCUGGGGGAGCUCAAGGCACUUUACUCUGAAAACCCUCAAAUUACUGGCAUUUCUUUUAGUGAAGAUAUCAAAUUAAUGACUGAAAAAAAUGUAGAAGAUGGUUAUUGGUGAUGUUAAAAGACAAGUUUAACCCACUUCCACACAACAUGUCUUACAAGCGUAAAGUAUUUGAGUAGAGAAAACUAUGAAUCUAAAAUUGAACAAGAUGUGAAUUUAGACAGACAGCGUUUGUGGUCACAGAUGUGCCGAGAUGAAGACUGGAGGAAGGGCACAGUUUCUGUAGCAGUGACUUCCACCCAGGGUGUGUCUUGCUAUUGUGUGAAAUGAUUUUUGACACUGGACAAAUCUCUACUUCCACUUACAAUGUUUUGCCAGCUAGCUGAGGCAUUCUGGGAGGGUGAGGAGCCUGGGCUUGGGCUGACCUCAGGAAAUCCUGUGUAAAGGGCUUUUGCACACUCAGAAGCAGGCCAGGUUCACCGCUGUUAUGUGCAAUAUUCACUCCUGGCUCUUGCUUCUGAGCCUUGGCAAACCUGAGUCCUAAGAGGCCAAUGAAAAGGAAAACACGUUAAGGAGCCAGGGCGCUUCUUGGAUAUCAGCCUGAAUAGUUCUGUUUCAUCUGGACCCCAAUUUUACUCUCCUGCUGUUUUACACGGAACUAAAAAGAGCUUUACAGAGGACCAGAUAGACUGCAGGUCCCUAGGCAGUCAGGGGCCAGGCAAGGCAUAGGAGGGUGUCAGGCCUCUGAGCUCAAACUAGGCCAUCAUAUCCCCUGUGACCUGCACGUACACAUCCAGAUGGCUGGUUCCUGCCUUAACUGAUGGCAUUGUCUUGUGAAAUUCCUUCUCCUGGCUCAUCCUGGCUCAAGAGCUCCCCUACUGAGCACGUUGUGACCCCCACUCCUGCCUGCCAGAGAACAACCCCCCUUUGACUGUAAUUUUCCUUUACCUACCCAAAUCCUAUAAAAUGGCCCCACCCCUAUCUCCCUUCACUAACUCUCUUUUCGGACUCAGCCUGCCUGCACCCAGGUGAAAUAAACAGCCUUGUUGCUCACACAAAGCCUGUUUGGUGGUCUCUUCACAGGGACUCGCAUGAAAUUUGGUGCUGUGGCUCGGAUAGGGGGACCUCCCUCGGGAGAUCAAUCCCCUGUCCUCCUGCUCUUUGCUCCAUGAGAAAGAUCCACCUACGACCUCAGGUCCUCAGACCAAGCAGCCCAAGAAACAUCUCACCAAUUUCAAAUCUGGAAAGCAGCCUCUUUUUACUCUCUUCUCCAACCUCCCUCAAUAUCCCUCAACCUCUUUCUCUUUUCAAUCUUGGUGCCACACUUCAAUCUCUCCCUUCUCUUAAUUUCAAUUCGUUUCAUUUUCUGGUAGAGACAAAGGAGACACGUUUUAUCUGUGGACCCAAAACUCCGGCGCCGGUCACGGCCUGGGAAGGCAGCCUUCCCUUGGUGUUAAUCAUUGCAGGGAUGCCUCUCUGAUUAUUCACCCACGUUUCAGAGGUGUCGGACCACACAGGGACGCCUGCCUUGGUCCUUCACCCUUAGUGGCAAGUCCUGCUUUUCUGGGGGAGGGGCAAGAACCCCAACCCCUUCUCUCCAUGUCUCUACCUCUUCUCUGCUUUUCUGGGGGAGGGGCAAGAACCCCUCAACCCCUUCUCCUUCACCCUUAAUGGCAAGUCCCACUUUUCUGGGGGAGGGGCAAGAACCCCUCAACAUCUUGUCCUUCACUGUUAGCAGCAAGUCUCACUUUUCUGGGGGAGGGGCAAGAACCCCUCAAACCCUUGUCCUUCACCGUCAGCAGCAAGUCCCGCUUUUCUGGGAGAGGGGCAAGAACCUCUCAACCCCUUCUCCUUCACCCUUAGAGGCAAGUCCCGCUUUUCUGGGGGAGAGGCAAGAACCCCUUAUUUCCACAGCCCGACCUCUUAUCUCUGUGCCCUGAUCCCUUAUUUCUGUGCCCUGACCUCUUAUCUCUGCACCCCAACCCCUUAUUUCUGCACCCCCACCUCUUUCCCACUUUUCUGGAGGGUAAGAACCCCCGAACCCCUUCCCUCCAUGUCUCUACUCUCUCUUUUCUCUAGCCUUGCUUCCUUCACUAUGGGCAACCUUCCACCCUCCAUUCCUCCUUCUUCUCCCUUAGCCUGUGUUCUCAAGAACUUAAAACCUCUUCAACUCACACCUGACCUAAAACCUAAAUGCCUUAUUUUCUUCUGCAAUGCCGCUUGAUCCCAAUACAAACUUGGCAGUAGUUCCGAAUAGCCGGAAAACAGCACUUUCAAUUUUUCCAUCCUACAAGAUCUAAAUAAUUCUUGUCGUAAAAUAGGCAAACAGUCUGAGGUGCUGACGUCCAGGCAUUCUUUUACACAUUGGUCCCUCCCUAGUCUCUGUUCCCAAUGCAACUCGUCCCAAAUCUUCCUUCUUUCCCUCCCACCUGUCCCCUCAGUCCCAACCCCAAGUGUCGCUGAGUCUUUCUAAUCUUCCUUUUCUACAGACCCAUCUGACCUCUCCCCUCCUCUCCAGGCUGAGCUAGGUCCCAAUUCCUCCUCAGCUUCCGCUCCUCCACCCUGUAAUCCUUUUAUCACCUCGCCUCCUCACACCCAGUCCGGCUUACAGUUUCGUUCCUUGACUAGCCCUCCCCCACCUGCCCAGCAAUUUACUCUUAAAAAGGUGGAUGGAGCUAAAAGCAUAGUCAAGGUUAAUGCUCCUUUUUCUUUAUCCCAAAUCAGACAGCGUUUAGGCUCUUUUUCAUCAAAUAUAAAAAUCCAGCCCAGUUCAUGGCUCGUUUGGCAGCAACCCUGAAAUGCUUUACAGCCCUAGACCCUAAAAGGUCAAAAGGCCAUCUUAUUCUCAAUAUACAUUUUAUUACCCAAUCUGCUCCCGACAUUAAAUAAAACUUCAAAGAUUAAAUUCCAGCCCUCAAACCCCACAACAGGAUUUAAUUAACCUUGCCUUCAAGGUGUACAAUAAUAGAGUAGAGGCAGCCAAGUAGUAACAUAUUUCUGAGUUGCAAUUCCUUGUCUCCACCAUGAGACAAACCCCAGCCACAUCUCCAGCACACAAGAAUUUCCAAAUGCCUAAACCGCAGUGGCCAGGCAUUCCUCCAGCACCACCUCCCCCAGAAGCUUGCUACAAGUGCCAGAAAUCUGGCCACCAGGCCAAGGAAUGCCCGCAGCCCGGGAUUCCUCCUAAGCCAUGUCCCAUCUGUGGGGGACCCCACUGGAAAUCGGACUGUUCAACUCACCUGGCAGCCACUCCCAGAGCCCCUGGAACUCUGGCCCAAGGCUGUCUGACUGACUUCUUCCCAGAUCUUCUCGGCUUAGUGGCUGAAGACUGACAUGCCCGAUCGCCUCAGAAGCCCGAUAGACCAUCAUGGAUGCCGAGCUUUAGGUAACUCUCACAGUGGAGGGGAGAAACGCGAAUGGAUGCGAGGUGGUGCAAAAUCCACAAAGGAGCUCCAGGGGACGUGGCAGGAUCCCUCUGCUAUGACUGUGCUGCAUAAGAGUCUGAGCCCACGCCAACCUAGAGUGAUUCUAAAGACCAUUUCCACAUGGAGAAGCUGCCAGAACAAGCACUGCUACCCUUGGAGGCCAUUGACAUUGUGAGGUCGCUGGGACUGAAAGGAGGUUGACCAGAAGUUCUGUUUGGCAAUGCAAAGCCAGGAGGAAAAGUUAAUGGAGUUUGUCCCCCGGGUCCCAAGAAAGCUGACCCAGGACGAUGAAGCUAGAAUUUGUGUUCUAGGAGGUGCUGCUUCUUCCAGGAAAGUCUACUCAAAGCACACACUGUGAGCUGCUGCAUGUCUCUUGAGCUAGUUCACUGCAGUUUUCAUGAUGAAAGUGAUCUGUUUCAGUAAACUUUCUGUUAUUUGAGAGCAUGGGAAAAAUAUUUGCUGUGAUUUCCCAAUUCCCCAUUUUUUCUGAUUCUUUGUUGCAGUUUCCACAACUUUGUUAUCAGGCUGUGACAGAGGUUUGUGAACUGAUGAAAGCUCCAGAGCCUCCCAGGCCCUCUGAGUCUGAUGCCUGCACUCCACAAUCAGGCCUCAAGCUCAGGGCGCCUGCCACCAACCCACGCUGGGCUUCAGGGGCAGGCAGCACUUGAAUGGGGUUUGGUUAUUGUCUUUCUUUAUUUUCUCUUAUUUUAAGCCUUAAAAAAAAAAAGAUAAGGUCUUGCUCUAUUGCCCAGGCUGGAGAGAAAUGGUGUGAUCAUAGCUCACUGCAGCUUUGAAUUCCUGGGUUCAACCGAUCCUCCCACCUAAGCCUCCCGAGUAACCAGGACUGCAAGUAUGCACCACCACACCCAGUUAAUUAAAUUUGUGUGUGUGUGUGUGUGUAGAGGUGGGUUCUUGCUUUGUUGCCCAGGCUGGUCUUGAACUCUUGAGUUCAGACAAUCCUGCCACCUCAACCUCACAAAGUGCUGGAAUUACAGGCGUGAGCCACUGCACUCAGCCUCCUUAAGCCAUUUGCUUAAGUGGCUUUAUUGCAAAACAAUAUCAGAAUAACAAAGAAAUAUAAGGUCAAACUUUCCCUGUUCCCAUCUAGUCCAAUAAGCAUUGCUGCUCUUGCCAGGGAUUCUCGCCCAUCUCCAUGUGCCAGUGCAAUCCAUACUGGUUGUUCUCCUUGGCUACCCCACAUCUGAGUCUCUGCCUUGUCUGCAUUCUUCCCCACUUUAUGAAGAGAUGAGUCAGUGCCUGAUUUUUUCUGCCUCUCUUGUCACUAGGGCACAGCCAUGUGCAUGGGCCCUGUCACUCAGAAGCCCCCAUCCACCAACAACAUGGCUCUGGGGGCCUCCUCUCUCUGGAAGAAUUGGCAGUUUUAGCAAGAAAGGUUUUCAGAGGCAGCAAUGAUGGUGGAGAUGUCCAGGGCCAGUGGCAGGUCAAACCAUUCUCUGUGUCAUUUGGGGCAGUGUUUAUGCUGUCCCUCAUUUUGGUUCCCUAAGCCUCCGAACAUGUACGUGAAUUUCCGAAUAUUCUCAAUUAAAUUGUUUUUCUGUUGAAAUUGGCCUGGUUGCUUUCAACUAUGACAAACCUAGCUAUAUAAGUAUUAUUUUGUAGUGUUGGGAUUGAUAGAACUUUAUGUUCUACACAUUAGCAGAAUACCAUGUGUAUUUUUCCAUUUGACAUAAUCUUUUAUCUUUCCAUUGAUAAGUAUUAUUACUAUUUAGUGAUAUAUUAUUUGAGUUCUCUUGCCCCUUUUGGGUAGCCCAUGUUAACAGUAAUACCCAGCUGCUACACUGAGAGCCUCUGAGACUUACUGGCUUCAGGGGAGACAGCACAUUAUCAGCUGUGGUGGCCAUGGCCGAGACUCCUUUUGCCUGAGAAAAGCAGAGGAAAAUGUAGAAGGGACUUCGUCUUGCAUCUGAGACACCAGCACAGCCACAGGGUGGUAGAGCACCAAGGGGGCUUUUGGAAUCUUUGAUUCUGGGAUGUGGCUCUUGGAAGGCAUUUCUGGACUUGCCCUGGGCCAGGGGGAGCCCACUGUCUUAAAGGGUGAGUCCCAGGCCAGGCAGCAUUUGCCACAGUCGACUGAAGAGCCCUGGGGGCCUUCAAGGGACAUAGAAGGUAAUCUGAAAGUACUCCGCAUAGGCCUGUGGGGUGGUGGCCAUGGGGCAAGGCUGCCCUGCCUCUGGAAAGGGUAGGAGAGAGUGAGAAAGACUGCAUCCUGUUGUCCGAGUGCCAGCUCAGCCACAGUACAAUAGAACACCAGCUAGGCUCCCAGCCAGCACCUCUGGACCAGCCUGGAAACUGGGGGUAACUCAUCGCCCUGAAGGGAAGGACAAAGGCCUGGCUGGCUUUGCCGUCUGCUGAUUGUUGAGCCCUAGGCGGGGAGCGGUUACAGUCGGCCUUGGGUGAGACUCAGAGCUGCACUGGCUUCAGGUCUGACUCAGCACAGUCACAGUGAUGGUGGCCACAGGGGUGCUUAUGUCACUCUAUCCCAGCUUUAGGUGGCUCAGAACAGACACACUCCAUUUCUUUGGGAGAAAGUAAGAAAGAGAACAAGAGUCUCUCUGAUAAUCCAGAGAGUUCUCCCAGAUCUUGUCCAAGAUCAUCAAGGCAAUACCACUGAGUCUGCAAAAACUGCAGUGUUACUGGGCUUGGGGUGCCCCCUAAAACAGAUACAACUUAGAUCACAACACCCAUGGCCUUUUAAAUAUGUGAAAAGCCUUCCCAAGAAGGACGGGUACAAACAAGCCCAGAUAGCAAAGGCUACAAUAAAUACCUAACUCUUCAAUUCCAGACACAAAUGGACACCUACAAGUAUCAAGACAUUCCAGGAAAAAAAUGACCUCACCAAAUGAACUAAAUAAAGCAUCAGGGACCCAUCCUGAAGAAACAGAUACGUGACCUUUUAGACAGAGAAUACAAAAUAGCCACUCUGAGGAAACUCAAAGAAAUUCAAGAUAACACAGAGAAGGAAUUCAGAAUUCUAUCAGAUAAAUUUAACAAAGAGAUUGAAAUCAUUCAAAAUGAUCAAACAGAUACUGUGGAGAUAAAAAAUGGAAUUGGCAUACUAAAGAAUGCAUCAGAGUCUUAAUAAUAGAAUUAAUCAAGUAGAAGAAAGAAUUAGCUUGAAGACAGGCUAUUUCAAAAUACACAGUUAGAGGACUCAAAAGAAAAUAGAAUAAAAAAUAAUGAAGCAUGUCAAAGAAUCUAGAAAAUAGCCUCAAAAGGACAAAUCUAAGAGUUAUUGGCCUUAAAGGGGAGACAAAGAAAGAGAUAAGGGUAGAAUGUUUAUUCAAAGGGAUAAUAACAGAGACUUUUCGAAACCCGGAUAAUAAUAUCAAUAUCCAAGUACAAGAAAACAGAACACCAAGCAGAUUAAAUCCAAAGAAGACUGCCUCAAGGCAUUUAAUAAUCAAAUUCUAAAGAUCAAGGGUAAAGAAAGGAUCCUAAAAGUAACAAGGGAGAAGAAACAGAUAACAUACAAUGGAUCUCCAGUAUGUCUUGCAGUGGACUUUUCAGUGGAAACCUUAAAGUCCAGGAGAGAGUGGCACAACACAUUUAAAGUGCUGAAAGAAAGAAACUUUUACCCUAGAAUAGUAUAUCCAGCAAAAAUAUUCUUCUAACAUGAAGAAAAAAUAAAGACUUUCCCAGGCAAACAAAAGCUGAGGGAUUUUAUCAGCACUAGACCUGUCUUAUGAGAAAUGCCAAAGGGAGUACUUCAAUCAGAAAGAAAAGGAUGUUAGUAAGUAAUCAUGCGAAAGUACAAAAUUCAUGGGUAAUAGUAAGCACACAGAAAAACACAGAAUUUUAUAUCCCUGUAACUGUGAUGUGUAAACUACUAUUAUUCUAAGUAGAAAAACUAAAUGAUGAACCAAUCAAAAAUAAUAACUAUAACAAUUUUUCAAGCCAUAGACAGUACUAUAAGAUAUAAAUAGAAACAACAAAAAGUUUAAAAUCAGGACAAAGUUAAGACGUAGAGUUUUUAUUAGUUUCCUUUUUUUUUGCUUCUUUGUUUCUUUGUUUAUGCAAACAAUGUUAAGUUGUUAUCAGCUUAAAGUAACAGGUCAUAAAGAAGCCAGUCAUGGUGUCUCACACUUGUAAUGCCAGCACUUUGAGAGUCCAAGGUGGGUGGAUCACUUGAGGUCAGAAGUUUGAGACCAGCCUGGCCAAUAUGGCGAAACCCCAUCGCUACUAAAAAUACAAAAAUUAGCCAGGUAUGGUGGCACAUGCCUGUAAUCCCAGCUACUCAGGAGGCUGAGGCAUGAGAACCCAGAAUGUGGAGGUUGAAGUAAGCCAAGAUCACACCACUGUACUCCAGCUUGGAUGACAGAGCAAGACUCUGUUUCAGAAGGAAAAAAAAAAGUCAUAAGAUAGUAUUUGCAAGCCUCAUAGUGACCUCAAACCAUAAAAACAUACAAUGAAUACACAAAAAGUAAAAAGCUAGAAACUAAAUCAUAUUACUAGAGAAAAAUCACUUUCACUAAAGGAAGGAAAGAAAGAAGGCAGAGAACAUCACAGAACAACUAGAAAACAAGUUAACACAAUGGCGGGAGUAAGUUCUUACUUAUCAAUAUUAACAUUGAUUGUAAAUAAGAACACCAAUAAAAUGAAAGAUUACAUCAAGUUAAAAAGUUAAAAAGCUUCUGCACAGCAAAGGAAACAGUCAAUAAAGUGGUAACCCCGCAGAGUGGGCAAAAAAUAUUUGCAAACUACCCAUGUGACAAGGGAUUAAUAACCAGAAUAUAUAAGGAGCUCAAACAACUCUAGAGAAAAACAAAUCUAAUAAUCUGAUCAAAAAAUAGGCAAGAUAUUUGAAUAGACAUUUCUCAAAAAAGACAUACAAAUGGCAAACAGUCAUAUGAAAAGGUGCUCAACAUCAUUGAUCAUCAGAACAAUGCAAAUAAAAACUACAAUGAAAUGUCAUCUCAUCCCUGUUAAAAUCGAUUGUAUCCAAAAGACAGGCAAAAACAAAUGCUGGUGAAAUGUGGAGAAAAGGGAACCCUCAUACACUGUUGGUGGGAAUGUAAGUUAGCCCAACCACUAUGAAUAGUGGUUUGAAGGUUCCUCAAAAAGCUAAAUAUGGAGCUACCAUAUGGUUCAGCCAUCCCACUGCUGGGUAUAGACCCAAAAGAAAGGAAAUCAGUAUAUUGAAGAGAUGUCUGCACUCCCGUGUUUGUUUCAGCACUGUUCACAGUAGCAAAGAUUUUGAAACAACCCAAGUGUCCCUCAAUAGAUGAAUAGAUAAACGAAAUGUGGUGCUUUUACACAAUGGAGUACUGUUCAGCCAUAAAAAUGAAUGAGAUCCUGUUCUUUACAACAACAUGGGUGGAAAUGAAGAUCAUUAUAUUAAGUGAUAUAAGCCAGACACAGAAAGACAAACAUUACAUCUUCUCAUGUACUUAUGGGAUCUGAAGAUCAAAAUAAUUGAACUCCAUGGACAUAGAGAGUAGAAGAAUGGUUACCAUAGGCUGGGAUUAGUAGUGGGACAGGUGGGGCAGGGGGCAGGUUAGGACAGGUAAUAGGUACAAAAAUAAUAGGAAGAAUGAAUAAGACCUACUAUUUGUUAGCAUAAAAUGGUACUUGUAAUCAAUUACACUUAAUUAUAUGUUUUAAAAUAACUCAAAGAGUAUAAUUGGAUUCUUUGUAACACAAAGAAUAAAUGUUUGAGGAGAUGGAUACCCUAUUCAGCAUGAUGUGUUAUUAUGCAUUGCAGGCCUGUAUCAAAGCAUUUCAAGUACGCUAUAGAUAUAUACACCUACUAUGUACUCACAAAAAUUAACAAAUUAAAAAAUUAAAGAAAACAGAGUGAGAAUGGGAUGGUGAGCAGGUGGUAUAAGGUAUAUGAUAUUGGUGUUCAGACUGUUAUCCAAAACCCUAAGAAUAGGCCAGGUGCGGUGGCUCACACCUGUAAUCCCAGCACUUUGCGAGGCUGAGGCGGGUAGAUCAUGUGGUGAGGAGUUCAAGACCAGCCUGGCCAAGAUGGUAAAACCCUGUCUCUAGUAAAAAUACAAAAAUUAGCCAGGCAUGGUGGUGGGCGCCUGUAAUCCCAGCUACUUAGGAGGCUGAGGCAGAGAAUUGCUUGAACCCAGGAGGCAGAGGUUGCAGUGAGCUGAGAUCAUGCCACUGCACUCCAGCCUGGGCAACAGAGCGAGACUCUGUCUCAAAAAAAAAAGGCAAAAAAAACAAAA
rnacentral:lncRNA from 1 species